rnacentral:lncRNA from 1 species
UUUUAAAGAGAGAACUACUUCUCGUGUUGGGUCAGUCCUAACACAUGUCUCCACAUGUGUCCACAUUAUUAGUUCAACAUCUCCAUGUCCAUGACUUGUGAAACAUAGUAAUCAACUAAUACAUGUGCUAGUCUAAUAUUCAUGUGUGUCCUCACAUGAACUCCGACUAUGGACAACUUUAGAAUAACCAUACAAGUAAAGAGUUUCACAUACAAUUCACAUAAUUGCAAAUCAAUUCAAGUAGCCUUUAAUGGAUAUUCAAUGAACACAAUAUACAAAUCAUGGAUACAAAUGGAAUAUCAUCAUCUCUAUGAUUGCCUCUAGGGCAUACCUCCAACAGUCUCCC